rnacentral:misc_RNA from 1 species
UUUGAUUUUAAACCUACGCAUGCGUUGAAGCCACGGCGGAGCCACCUUUAUUAGAAGCAUGGAAUGAUGGGACAGAUAAUCCAACAGGCCAUGCGGUCGUUAUCCUCGCUAUGUUUUCGAAUGUUUUUAGUUUUCACUGAAAGUAUAGAGAGAAUUGCUAAUCCUUUCGUGUUGAUAUUUUGUCUUCCGAUAAUAAGUCAGUCGUAAAGUUUCUGUUCAUUUGUGUAGUCUAUCUAAUCAAAAGGAAUAGAGAUAAUGACUGAAGAAGGAGAGAUUUCAUCCCCCGAUGUCGAGGAACAUGAGAUGAGUGGUGAAAAUGUUGUUAAUGUGCUUGAUGAUAUAUUAGGUGAACCUGCCCAUGAUGAAUUUGCAGCAGAAUUAGAUAAAGCUACAAAACCUACAACACCUGUAACACCAGAGGCUCCUAACUUUCCCGAGCAGUCUAAAAUCUCAACAAAGUCCCAAAAAACAGUCGGUGAAGUUAAAGCCCAUGAAGUCUCAAAGAGUAAACCCAACAGUGAAGGUAAAACAAGUCCUGGUGAGAGCAGGACAAAACCAAAAGCGCCUGCCUCCAAAAAGUCGAAAGUGACAACCCCCAAAACUAAAAUUCAGGCUAAAGUUAAAGCUUCGCCAAGUGCCAGUAGUUCUGGCUCAGAAAAGUCUAAAAAAGUUACUAAAACAGCCACUAUUAAAGGAGGGAAUCAAGAACCUGGAACUGCUGCAAAAGAGAAAGUUGUUUCAAGCCCUGCAAAGGUGAAAGCUGAGGUCAAACCUAAAGAAGCAAGUAAAUUGUCUCAAAAGCCGAAAGGUGGCAUAAAAGCUAAAGUUGGUGCUGCUUUAAAAGUAACCAAAGCUGUUGCUAAAGGUAAAUCAGGGGAUAUUUCUACAGAUGAGAAAAAGACAACUGCUACUGAGAUACCUCAUCCGGUCACAGAGGACGGUGAGCCUAGAACUGCAGAAAAAUCCAAUGCAAAACCAACCACUGAAAAGAAGAAAGUCCUCAAGAAAGUUGUCAAAAAGGCUGCUGCAACAAUAGGAAAAUUUACAAAGUCAAAGAAUGUUGCUGCAAACAAAGUAGUAAAGUCAGAAGAGAAGACUCAAGGAAAUGUACCAGAGAAAAAAACUAUUGAAGGUGCAGAAGCAGGUAAGGCAGAAGAAAUAGUUGUUUCAGAUACUAAAGCGAAAACAGAUGAAAAGACAACCACUGUCAUAACUGAGAAAACCACAGCAAAGAAAAGACCAGCUUCAUCUAAAGUUGUUGCAGUUAAAGCAAAAAAGCCAAAACAAGAAGAAAAGAAGCCUGUUAAGAAAGCAAAGACAGUUGUUGUUGCAAAGAAAUCAACUAUUAAAAUGGAAGAACCUGAUGAUAAACCAAAGGAACAAGCUAAGAAAGAACUCUCUGCUGAAAUGAAAGAUGUUGAAAAAACUGUUGUUGAGGAAUCGGAAUCAAAACCUGAUGUUGAAAUGACAGAUGAAACACUUGAAGAUGGUGAUGAAACUAAAAUGGAUGCUAAGCAAGAAGAGUCAGACAACCAAAUGACUGUUGUAGAUGACGUAGAUAAUAGUCCAAGUGCUAGCCUUUCAAAACGCGCGUCAAGGUCUCGUUCGCGAUCAAGGUCCUCAUAUUCUUCUAAUAAGUCGGGUUCUGAAAAUGAAUCAAAUGAAGGCGAGAAGCCCGCGAGAAAAAGACGUCACAAAUCAAUAUCACCAAUAGUAUAUGAUAAAGAUUCGUCUGCGAGUGAAAGUGAUUCCUCUGGCUCUGAAGGAAGUGGUACCCCUGUCAAAAGUAAUGUUGAUAAAGUAGAAAAGCCAAAUAUUGAUGAGUUUUUGCUGGAUGCACGCUUCUUUAUCAUGAAGAGUAGCAACCAUGAAAACGUUUCAUUAUCCAAAGCGAAGGGAGUCUGGUCCACACCGUAUGCAAAUGAAAAGCGAAUAAACAUUUCCCUUAAGAAAUACCAGAACGUUAUACUGAUAUUUUCAAUCAAAGAAAGUGGAAAGUUUCAAGGUUUUGCUCGGGUUUUGGAUGAAGCAGAAUAUGGUGGUCGCCCUGUACCGUGGGUUUUACCUCCGGGACUAAGCGCGAAGGCACUAGGUGGAGUUUUUAAAGUGGAGUGGCUUAACAGGAAAGAUUUGCCUUUCGCGAAAUGUUCACACCUACGAAAUCCCUAUAAUGAUAACAAAGACGUUAAAAUCUGCCGAGAUGGCCAGGAAGUGGAGCCAAAUAUUGGAAGGUUGUUGUGCAAGCUUUUUCCUGAUGAUGAAAACGUGAAUCUAGGAAGUAAACGUCGAUCAAAUCGUGAAACGGAGCACAAGAGAGUGGAUCAAGGGUCACCUAGGUUAGAUUUUGCAUCAUUCUGGGUCAUAUCGAGAGGUUUUUUGAGCUCCUAUUACGGCAAAGGAGCUUGUGCAGGGUGAUCAAAUCUUGGGUUUAUGAUAUAUUGUAAUGGAUGAAUACCUUGCAUACGGGAGGAGUAUGCAGAUGCACCGCUUAUCUUGUAUUUUGAUUGUUCUCGAUUUAGGUCGCUCCUUUUUUACGGCAUGACAUCAUUUGAACGAAUGAACUAAGAACUAUUAAUAUUCCGUGAAAAUGCUAUCACAUUUACGAAGUGGACAUUGCACCACAGGCUUUCUUGCGCGUCUUUCUAAAUGUCCCAUAGGGAAUGGGUUAUUGAGCUUUGAGCUGAGACAAUUUUAACCUACUUUUAGCCAGGGAAAGAUAUUGCGGUUUAUUUGUUCCAACCGGUAUACUGAAAGGCAGUCCAUCAGUCGAUGAUGAGUUUGUUUACAGGAAUGGUACGUUUGGCACUCUUGAGAGAUGAUCUACAGAGCAAUGCUUCUUACUCUAAUGGCUAUUCGUCCUUUCAGUCUGUGGUGUCGCGAUAAAAGUCUUAAAAAUGUGCGGUGUUUGCGUAAGUUGAAGAUUGGCGAUUGGUUGGAUAGCGUAUAUUGGCUGGUCUUGGAAAGACGACUAGUACUGGGAAUGUAAUGGUGGUAGAAAAUUUCGAAGAUUUGUAAUCAAGAUUGUACUGGUUAGCAACGAGAUUGUAUCGUCGAAGUUCUCAACAAUAAUGUCGUGCUUUUAUCGUUGAUUGAAGUUUACAACCUGCCUAUUCGAUAACUUGCGCGAUAUCAAUAUUGCUCUAGCUCAAUCGUAUGAACUUUUACCCCAAUGAUUUACUGAACUUUACCCUAUCUCUUGCUGCUCAUUGAUUGCCUCACGCUUUUAUAUUACGAACUUAAUGCCUAUCGAACUGAUAAAUUGAGUGCCGUGCAGUUUGAGAACUUUGCCGGGUUAAUGCAGCCACGAGAAUUAAAAGUGCAAAGGUAGCAAAGGACAUGAAUGAACUAUUGAUUAUUUGAUCUCUUGGUGAAGAUCCCUCACUACCCAAGAGAGCCGUCUGGUGAAGAUACAUGUAUAAUGACCCGGCAACUGGAGGCGAUCUCACAGGCAUUCAUCCCCAUCUCACCGCCGCAAACGAAGACGCCGUGAUAGAGAUGGAAGACAUCGUUCACGGGA